GGAGACAUACUCAAGUGGCUGAAGAGGCGCCCCUGCUAAGGGUGUAGAUCGGGUUAUUCCGGUGCGAGGGUUCGAAUCUCUCUGUCUCCGCUA
rnacentral:tRNA from 15 species